rnacentral:rRNA from 1 species
AUGUUUGAUAGUGAGGCUGAAGGCUAUGAAUUCUACAACAAAUAUGCUCUUGAAAAAGGUUUUAGUGUGAGGAAAAGCAACGUUUAGUGGGAUGGAUCCAACAAUUACGUAAUUUUAAGGAAACUUGUGUAUAGUCGUCAAGUGUUUUGCAAAGAGAAGCACAUGAAAAGAAAGAUGGAAGAUAGAAAGAGGAGGCCACGAAGUUUAACUCGUGUUGGAUGUAACGCUAAAUUGGUCAUUGCGAGACAGGAGGUAACAUGUCGGUGGUUUGUAAAGGAUUUCAUCGAUGAGCACAGCCAUCCUCUAGCCCCACUAGAUCUUUCUUGUCUGCUGCGUUCGCAAGGACGAAUUAGCGAUGAGCAGAAAGCGGACAUUGCGGACAUGGAAAAAUCUAGGAUCCGCAAAUGCCGUAUUAUGGAUAUUUUGUGCAUUCAAUACAGUGGAUUUGAUAAAGUUGGAUGCAUAAAGAGGGACAUUUAUAAUUUCUGCCAUGCUAAUAAGCAAGAGACAAUCAGUGCCGGUGAUGCUAAGACGGUGAUCAUGCACAUGAUGGCGAGGUGAGAGCGAGAUCCGGAUUUUUUCUUCAGGUACUUAGUUGAUGAAGUUGGCCAUCUGAAGGGACUGUUCUGGGUUGAUAGUCAAUCCCGGCUUGACUAUGAGGCUUUCGGAGACGUCAUUGUUUUUUAUAGCACAUACAAAACUAAUAAGUACAAUUUGUCAUUCGUGUCGUUUGUCGGGUUGAAUCAACACCGCAGCACUGUUAUUUUUGGUUGCGAUAUAAUUUCUCAUGAAACAAGCCAGGCAUACGAGUGGAUGUUGCGGACCUUUUCUAAUUGCAUGGCACAGAAGCAUCUGAUAUCUGUGAUCACAGACUGGGACCUUGCAAUGCAGAGACCAAUCAGGGUGGUCUCAAACCAUAGGCUAUUUAUAUGGCACAUUCAGCAGAACAUUGUACGCCAUCUGCAUGAUGACGAUGUAAAGGAGGAACUCGUAUCUUUCGUAUAUGAUACUUCUUCCAUUGAAGAGCAUGAGAUAAAAUGGAUACAAUUCUUACAACGGGAUAAGUAA